UACGUAGGGCGCAAGCGUUGUCCGGAAUUAUUGGGCGUAAAGAGCUCGUAGGCGGCCUGUUGCGUCCGCUGUGAAGGCCCGGGGCUUAACCCCGGGUCUGCAGUGGAUACGGGCAGGCUAGAGGUAGGUAGGGGAGAAUGGAAUUCCCGGUGUAGCGGUGAAAUGCGCAGAUAUCGGGAGGAACACCGGUGGCGAAGGCGGUUCUCUGGGCCUUACCUGACGCUGAGGAGCGAAAGCGUGGGGAGCGAACAGG
rnacentral:rRNA from 1 species